UCGCCAGACUAUAUUCUGGACCCUUAGCCCCCGGCCCUUCAGUGACUGGUGGAGGUAAAUCGCGGUAAAUGCUCAAGUUGAUCAGGGUUCGAACAACCUUUAUACUACUGGCCCCAAGGGACCAUCUUCCAUGGUUAUUACAUCACCAAGCUGCUCCAACCAAGAUGGUUAUUACAAACACCCAGCUGCUCAAACCAGGAAUCGAACACCCCACGCUGGGGUUGGGAGCCCCGCACUGCCCUUUCUUUGCCAACUUGGAUGUGACCCGGGGCAACUUCUUCCUGCUUCUCUGUGUUGGGGGUGGGGGUAACUUUAUUAUCCGUCUUUCCCAAAAUAGAAACAAUACGAAUUACAAAUCUGAAUAUAGAAAGCGGUGGAUAUGAAAACCUCACUGGUUUCGAAUAGUUGAUAUUAUAUAUUGCUCCUUUUGAUUUUCUUCAUUUCUUCCAGCUUCUCUAAGUGGGGCUUGGGGCUGGGUGACUUUAUUCUGUCUUUCCAAAAGUGGAUACAAUACAAAUUACAAGUUGAAUAUAGAAAGCGGUCGAUUUGGGAAUCGCACUGGUUCUGGAUCUUUCGUGACAUCCCUUGUGUUGGAUAAGUUUUUUUUGAAAAUCAUUUUCUACCAGCACAUUUUACUGGAUUCCUUACUUUUCUCUAGUUUUCAACUAUAUAUAUUCUCUUAAAACCAGUACACUACAGAAUGAACGAUUCAUCUCGUCAUGGAUAAUUCUGGAAGGGUACUCAAAUAAUUUAACCUCAAAAAAAUCUGAAAAGCAUUUAUUUCAACAGUUAGUUAUUUAGAGAAUGCUUUACAUCUCUUUCGGAUAUUGACAAAGUAGAUGCUUGAAGUGACGAUAAAUAGUUGUAAAUUUCUGGUCUGACUGUGUGAUAAAAGGUGAAUAGUAAAAGUAUGUUUGACAGCUUAAAUCGUAAGCUAUGCUUUUGCCAAACAUGCACAAAGUACGGUAACUAAAUAAAAUAAUAAAAUUGACUUCCAAAUCCAUAAAGCUUGUUGAUAUAGGAGAAACUCGUGUGUACAAACAGACACCUAGAAUCUUUCCAGGACAAGCAUGCAAGGUUCAAAUCACACAAGGGCUUACACAGUACAGAUUAUUCACCAAGACUCCGUAUUACUGAUAAAGUUGCUUUGUUUCAGUUGGCAUUGGGAAUUAUUAAUUUCCAUUCAAAGCAAAUCGAGCAAUUCAUGAUGCUGUUCACCCAACAUUGGAGUAUGUGAGAGGAACUCUGAGAUCCACAAUCAUCCUGUUUCUGCUCUCAUCCAUCUCGUUUCCACCUACCUGUGGGAUUUUUCAAGACUUAGUUUACCUUCUCCCUGAGAAGCCUGUUCUCUUCCGGCCUCAAGUUCUCCUGCUCAAAAAGCAAUCAUCAUUGGCAAUUGUCAAUUUCCAUUCAAAGCAAAUCAAGCAAUACAUGUUGCUGUUCACCCAACGUUGGAGUGUGUGGGAGAACACUGAGAUCCAUAAUCAUCCUGUUUGUGCUCUCAUCCAUCUUGUUUCCGCCUACCUGUGGGAUUUAUCAACACUUGGUUUACCUUCUCCCUGAGAAGCCUGUUCUCUUCUGGCAGCAAGUUCUCCUGCUCAAAAAAGCAAUCAUUUGUAAACCAAUUUCCAACAAGAUGUACAUAUGCAUGAUAAGCAAAGGAAAGGAGCACCCAGCUACUAGCUAAAUAAGAAAGGAGCAUGCAUGCACCACCGCUGCAACGACUAAGCUAGAAACGAAAGGUACCCUCAUCAUAUUCAUGGUAAGCAACAACCAAGAAGAAAAAGUAAUGAAUAUUCAAUGCUGCAGGAAAACUUUUUUUUUAGCCCCUUGUUCGGCGGGGAUUAACGUAAGAUAUUUAGUAGAUUUUGAUUAAAGUUGAUGAAAUGCGUGGUUGAAAAGUUGUAGGUCCCGUAAAAUGUGACUAAAAUUAGUUGUUGAUUUUGGUUUAAAUUAACAAAUGAAUUUUAGUCUACCAAAUGGAGGCCUAAUAUUUUUUCAUUUACUGACAUUUAAGGACUAUUCAUACCAUUUUUCAUAACGACCAUUAGCAUGCAUAGAUACUUUGUCCAAUUAUAAGCAAACACCUAUUAGCAUGCAAAGAUUACUUGCUUACAAUUAGAAAAUUUUAAAACAUUUUAAAUGAUUGUAUACCUGUACUACAAUCUUUACUCCAUGCUAGUUUC